rnacentral:lncRNA from 1 species
AGGGUAACACGACAAAAAACCCUAAAGAACAGAAGAAAUGGGUCUGAGUGCUCGACUGGGGUUUGGGGGUAAACUGAAAAACUGGACUGCAUGGGUGAUCAAUAGGCUUCCUAAUGGCGAUCGGGGAGAUCUCAAUCAACCAAAACAGAGGCUUCCUUCAAUUUUUCGUUGGGUUUGCUCUAUCACUGGAGAACCGAUCUGGUAUUGAGAGUUUGGCUUCACUUCAGUCCCUCCCUUCAGACAAGGAUAAAGAUAUGAAGGCUUGAAGGGUUGUGACGAGGCGUUGUUGUUGGUCGACGACGAAGCGGUUGGCAGUGUUGAUCAUGGCAUCGAUUACGAUACACCCUUCACCACACGCUCAUGACUCUCCUGGGGUUUAAAGAUUGCUCCUCCUUUUUGGGUUUUUGAUUAACAGCAAAAAGGUGGGUACUCGCUCUGUUCUUGUGCUUUAAUGGCUUUUGAAUCAAGUGGGCUUUGGAUUGUCUGGUUUGCGGCUUAUGGCAAUGUCGAGUUGUGAGUGAGAAAGAGAGAAGUGUUUGGUGAAUUGUAAUUGGGUUGGAGUUUUUUGUCUCUUUUUGUCUUUAUUUUUCAUCUUGAAUUGAAAUAGGGAGGGAGGCAAAGAUAUGCCUCGAUUCAAUUAGCUGCAUUUUUGCCUAUAAAAUUUACCAAACAUGGCUUCAGUAAUUGCCACCAAAUCUUGCCUCUAUUCAAUUAGCCAGGUACGUCCCUUUCUCAAUGAGCUUUCAUUUCAGUUCAAUGAUGUUUAUGUUCUGUAUUUCAAUACCAAAUAAUACUGGUUUUCUUUUCUUUUCUGUGUAUGGAUAUGUGAUCAAUGGAUGUUUGACGCUGCAAGUUAAUAAUUUCGUCAGGCUUUCAGUAGGGAGCUUUAGCACCUGCAAGACCAUAUAUGCUUUUAUUAAAUUCGAUACAUUCAUACAGAGAACCAAGAAAUUGUACCAGGACACUUGUACUCAGCGGACUAUUUCAAAGUUGAAUAAUGAACUCUAUGAAGUCCACCAAAUAAUGACUUGCAAUGUUCAGGAAGUUCUUGGCGUCGGUGAAAAGUUGGACUAGGUCAGCCAAAUGUCUAAUCGUUUAACAUCAAAGUCUCGUGCAUAUGCAGAUAAGGCAAGAGACUUGAAUCAACAGGCUCUGAUCCGUAAGUGGGCUCCUGUUGCCAUGCUAUGCAGGUGCUAAAGCUCUCUACAAAAUAUCUAAAAGAGGACUUUCAUUUCUAGUGACGAGUUCCAAGUGCAAGGGAAGAAGAGAUUCCAAGAUUUAGGGAAGUGAUCAAGAGGAUGCCAAAAACAAAAUUGAGGAGGAUCCCUAAACUCUUUUGAAUUAGUAUAUAGUAUUGAUAUAACUACUUUGAAUUAUUACUUAUUGUAAGGG